rnacentral:rRNA from 1 species
GAUGAACGCUGGCGGCGUGCCUAAUACAUGCAAGUCGAACGAACAGACGAUGAGCUUGCUGGUCGCUCGUUAGCGGAAGACGUGUGAGUAACGCGUGUAUAACCUACUUAUAAGACUGAUAUAUCUUCGGGAAACCGGAGAUAAUCGCGGAUGAUAUAUUGAUCCGCGUUGUUCAAUGGUGAGAUACGGUGUUUCUGGAUGUACUCGAUGGAUCUGCGCCGCAUUAGGUAGUUGUGAAGGUAAUGGGUUACGAAGGCAACGAGGCGUAGCCGAACUGAGAGGGUGAUCGGCGACACGGGAAGUGAGACGGGGUCCAGACUCCUAAGGGAGGCAGCAGUCGGGAACCUUCCGCAAUGGUCGAAAGCCUGACGGAGCAACGCCGCGUGAGUGACGACGGCGUCCGGAGCGUAAAACUCUGUUAUUAGGGAAGAACAAAUGUGGAAGUAACUAUGGCCGUAUUGACGGUACCUAAUCAGAAAGCCCCGGCUAACUACGUG